GUCUCUAGCCAUACCACCCUGAAUGUGCCUGACCUCGUCUAAUCUCAGAAGCUUAAGCAGGGUCGGGUGUAGUUAGCACUUUGAUGGGAGACUGCCUGGGAGUACCAGGUGCUGUAGGCU
rnacentral:rRNA from 1 species